GAUGAACGCUAGCGGCAGGCCUAAUACAUGCAAGUCAAGGGGAUAGCAAUAUCACCGGCGGACGGGUGCGUAACGCGUACACAACGUGCCCAAGGGCGGAGGAAAGCGGCGGGAAACUGCCGGUAAUACUCCAUGGUGUUGUUGAGUGGCAUCACUUAACAACUAAAGUACAAGCGCCCUUGGAUCGGUGUGCGUUCGAUUAGCUAGUUGGCGGGGUAACGCCCACCAAGGCUUCGAUCGAUAGGGGGUGUGAGAGCAUGACCCCCCCACACGGGUACGUGAGACACGGACCCGACUCCUACGGGAGGCAGCAGUAAGGAAUAUUGGACAAUGGGCGGAAGCCUGAUCCAGCCAUGCCGCGUGAAGGACGAAGGCGCUCAGCGUUGUAAACUUCUUUUGGA
rnacentral:rRNA from 1 species